rnacentral:rRNA from 1 species
GACGAACGCUGGCGGCGUGCUUAACACAUGCAAGUCGAGCGGUAAGGCCCUUUCGGGGUACGACGAGCGGCGAACGGGUGAGUAACACGUGGGUGACCUGCCCUCAGCUCUGGGAUAAGCCUGGGAAACUGGGUCUAAUACUGGAUAUGACUCCACGGUGCAUGUCGUGGGGUGGAAAGCCUUGUGCGGCUGAGGAUGGGCCCGCGGCCUAUCAGCUUGUUGGUGGGGUGA